rnacentral:rRNA from 1 species
GACGAACGCUGGCGGCGUGCUUAACACAUGCAAGUCGAACGGAAAGGCCCUGCUUUUGUGGGGUGCUCGAGUGGCGAACGGGUGAGUAACACGUGAGUAACCUGCCCUUGACUUUGGGAUAACUUCAGGAAACUGGGGCUAAUACCGGAUAGGAGCUCCUGCUGCAUGGUGGGGGUUGGAAAGUUUCGGCGGUUGGGGAUGGACUCGCGGCUUAUCAGCUUGUUGGUGGGGUAGUGGCUUACCAAGGCUUUGACGGGUAGCCGGCCUGAGAGGGUGACCGGCCACAUUGGGACUGAGAUACGGCCCAGACUCCUACGGGAGGCAGCAGUGGGGAAUAUUGCACAAUGGGCGGAAGCCUAAUGCAGCCACGCCGCGUGCGGGAUGACGGCCUUCGGGUUGUAAACCGCUUUCGCCUGUGACGAAGCGUGAGUGACGGUAAUGGGUAAAGAAGCACCGGCUAACUACGUG